rnacentral:rRNA from 1 species
UGCAAGUCGAACGAAGUAGCAAUACUUACGCGGCGCACGGGUGCGUAACGCCUAUUCAACCUACCUUAUAUUGGGAAAUAGCCCAGGGAAACUUGUUUUAACGUCCCAUAGCACUGCGAGAUGGCAUCAUUUUGCAGUUAAAGCUCUGGCGAUAUAAGAUGGGCAUGCGUCUGAUUAGUUUGUUGGUGAGGUAACGGCUCACCAAGACUACGAUCAGUAGGGGGUCUGAGAGGAUGAUCCCCCACACUGGCACUGAGAUACGGGCCAGACUCCUACGGGAGGCAGCAGUAGGGAAUAUUGGUCAAUGGGCGAAAGCCUGAACCAGCCAUGCCGCGUGUCAGAUGAAGGUCCUCUGGAUUGUAAAUGACUUUUCUACGGGAAGAAUGAGCCGUCUGCGGACGGAAGUUGACGGUACCGUAGGAAUAAGCACCGGCUAACUACGUGCCAGCAGCCGCGGUAAUACGUAGGGUGCAAGCGUUGUCCGGAUUUACUGGGUUUAAAGGGUACGUAGGCGGUUGUGCCAAGUCUGGGGUGAAAGUUUGCAGCUCAACUGUAAAAUUGCCUUGGAUACUGGUCGGCUAGAGUAGUGGAGCGGUGGCUGGAAUUUAUAGUGUAGCGGUGAAAUGCUUAGAUACUAUGAGGAACACCAAUUGCGAAGGCAGGUCACUGGUCACUAACUGACGCUGAG